rnacentral:rRNA from 1 species
UAUUGGUCAAUGGUCGGGAGACUGAACCAGCCAAGCCGCGUGAGGGAGGAAGGUACAGAGUGUCGUAAACCUCUUUUGUCAGGGAGCAAGGCCGCCCACGUGUGGACGGAAGGAGAGUACCUGGAGAAAAAGCAUCGGCUAACUCCGUGCCAGCAGCCGCGGUAAUACGGAGGAUGCGAGCGUUAUCCGGAUUUAUUGGGUUUAAAGGGUGCGUAGGCGGCCUGCCAAGUCAGCGGUAAAAUUGCGGGGCUCAACCCCGUACAGCCGUUGAAACUGCCGGGCUCGAGUGGGCGAGAAGUAUGCGGAAUGCGUGGUGUAGCGGUGAAAUGCAUAGAUAUCACGCAGAACCCCGAUUGCGAAGGCAGCAUACCGGCGCCCUACUGACGCUGAGGCACGAAAGUGCGGGGAUCA